rnacentral:rRNA from 1 species
AAUUAGCUUGGUUUUCUGCGAAAUCUGUUUUAGCAAAUUAUUUAUUUUAUUAUUAGUAGGUAUAGCACUGAAUAUUUUUUUUUCCAUAAAGGGAGUAUUAAUUUACUUAUCUAGAAAAUUUAAUCUCCCAAAGGGUAAAAAAUUAGGGAAAUAAACGGACUUUUUGCGAUAAAGGAUAAAGUCUAAAGGGGAACAGCCCCCAACAGUAAAAAAAAAAGUAGGGGCCCCCAAUUUUUUUUAAGGGGAAAAUUCCAAAAGGUUUUUUUUUUGCAACCCUUAAAGGGGGGGGGAAAAACCCCCCACAGGGGGGGGGGGGGAAAAGCCCCCC